AUCCCAUCAGAACUCCGUAGUUAAGCGUGCUUGGGCGAGAGUAGUACUAGGAUGGGUGACCUCCUGGGAAGUCCUCGUGUUGCAUUCC
rnacentral:rRNA from 1 species